CAGGUGGUGCAUGGUUGUCGUCAGCUCGUGUCGUGAGAUGUUGGGUUAAGUCCCGCAACGAGCGCAACCCUUAAGCUUAGUUGCCAUCAUUAAGUUGGGCACUCUAAGUUGACUGCCGGUGACAAACCGGAGGAAGGUGGGGAUGACGUCAAAUCAUCAUGCCCCUUAUGAUUUGGGCUACACACGUGCUACAAUGGACAAUACAAAGGGCAGCGAAACCGCGAGGUCAAGCAAAUCCCAUAAAGUUGUUCUCAGUUCGGAUUGUAGUCUGCAACUCGACUACAUGAAGCUGGAAUCGCUAGUAAUCGUAGAUCAGCAUGCUACGGUGAAUACGUUCCCGGGUCUUGUACACACCGCCCGUCACACCACGAGAGUUUGUAACACCCGAAGCCGGUGGAGUAACCUUUUAGGAGCUAGCCGUCGAAGGUGGGACAAAUGAUUGGGGUGAAGUCGUAACAAGGUAGCCGUAUCGGAAGGUGCGGCUGGAUCA
rnacentral:rRNA from 1 species